UGUGUGAAUUUUUUCUUAAUGAGAAUGUGAUGCAAUGUGGUAUACAGGGUAGAAAAAUCAAAACUUUGAACAGAUUCAAAAUCACCAAUAUAAGCAUGCAAUUUAUCGAAUACUUCCAACGAGUUCUUGACACUCCAAAAGUAAUUUAUUCCACUAUUUUCGAAGGCCUUAUUUGAACAAUUUAUUAUAAGGUUUUUAAUUGUACCAAGUGUGCU
rnacentral:lncRNA from 1 species